GCUGUGUUUGGUCCGUGCGUGGUGUGUUACUGUAACAGCAGAUGUGUUUUGCUUCAGAUUUAAUGGCGUCUGGGCCUCAGCCCCUCGCUCCAGCCUCUCUGCAGCCAUGUGCACCUGAUGUGGAAACACAAAGCCUGCUGGGAGUUUUGACACGUGGGGAUCAAGGCGGCAGGCUGAGGCAGCAGCCACUGUUGAAGUAUGGGAGUGUUAUGCAAGACCAGAUGGGCUGUGGGCUUCUUCUUCAAACACAUCCAGGACUGACUCGUCAUUAUGAAUGAAGACUCUGAAUGUGAGUGUUCUGGAACUGAGGAGAAGCUGAGCAGACUAGCACCGGUUGGCAGAGAGGAAACACUGCAGUAUUUUUAACCCGCAUAAGCAUCAAAAGCUGCUGACCCACACAACUUUUUAAAGUCUGGGCACUCCUGGAGAAAAAUUACCAAAAAAGAAAAAGAAAACAGAACCCUGCCUCCGGGUUUUCCACCAUAAUCCUACAGAUGGUCCUGUACAAGAAAAGCUAAUGAUUUCAUCCACGUAAUAGGCCAGACACCAAACCUAUGCCUCCUCACUCUCUGUAGGCAAAAACGGGUUUAUAUAGCAAGAUGAAAGAUCUUCAGGUUAGGCAAGAAUCAUCCAGUGUGUAACACUGAGGAGGAUCUAUUGCAGGCCUGGCCAACCCGCGGCUCUUUGCCUGGUUUCAUGCGGCUCUUACGUUCAUAUAGAAUUUGGUGUUGUGUAUAGCCCCUUUCACACUGCCCAAAAAACCUAUAUAAACCCGUUAACACCCGAUAUUAAUCGGCUUCACCUCGGAUCGGCAUUGAUGUGAACCUUUUAAUUUGUGCCAUGACGGAGGCAACGAAGGCUCGACUCCUCCGUCGGUAACUGCUGCUGUGAGGAGACCUCUCGCGUAGCUAGCUCGCUUAGCCUAGCUAGAGUGAAGUGGUUUUUAUUUCGGAAUUGGACCUGAAGUGUGUACGAAAAGCACAUUCCCUGACCGGGAAUCAAACCCGGGCCACAGCAUUGAGAGCACCAAAUCCUAACUACUAGACCAGAGUGUUAAUCUGACACACUUAAAGUCGGUAUUGGUGAAAGAUGACAACAGGCAUGGCAUGGCACUGUUAUAUGGACUAUGUGGCAUGCUUUGUUCUUUAGGCCUGGGGACUACACAUUUUCAGCAAAGGGUAGGAGUCCCCACGCAGGGAGGGUCUCAAAAAGUGUGUAUGAUAUGGCUCUUUGCAGUAACACAGUAAAAAAUGUGGCUCUUAGUCUCUGACUGGUUGGCCACUCCUGAUCUAUUGUCAGUAAUGGAAUAUAAUACUCAUAGGUAUGUUUUCAUUAGUGUAUAAUCAGCUGAAUAUAAGAAUCAUUGUGUUUUUGUUACCUUAGAAUGAGCUGUUUAUAUCUACAGACGCUGGAGGUAACCUUCUGUAAUGUCCACCAUGUUGAACCGCCAUAUUUCUACAGUAGCCCAGAACAGACAAACCAUACACUGGCUCUUUUCAUUGUUCCCCCUUCAUGUUUGGAAGAAAGGUGAAGCGAAGGAGUUGCAAUCUGCAAUUACACCACUAGAUGAAACUAAAACCUACACUCUGGACCUUUAAGAAUCAAUUUGAGUUCCAACUCUUCUGAAACUGCAUUAGGCAAUGGACGCCAAGACACUGCAGAAUCUAAACAUGCCUUUUUCUGUAUUUUUGAAAGAUGUCUAGGAAGAAACUGGCCUACAUUUCAAUAAAAAGUGAAA